UAGCCUUCUAUAGGAACGGCCAGGAAGCUGGCUAUCUCCCUGUAGAAAAAAAGUUUGUCAUCCUCCCACCGACCCACAGCCGCCUCUGGCUCUUUGUCCCUAGCGACGCCCUAGCAACGAAAGCGUGUCCUUUCCGCUUUCCACAUUUUCUUUCCCAAUUUUUCCAUUUUUCACUGGUUGAGAGCAUGCUCAGCCAUAUCUUGUUCAAGGGUGCAAGGGUCAGUGCCGGUCAAUGCAUAGGUCAGGGAUAAUUAUUAAGAAUGAGGAAAAAGUGCUGUGUAAUUAAUUGUUUGAAUAAAAAUUACGGAAAAGGAGUUUUAAACCAAAAAGUGACUUACCACACUUUCCCAAAAGAUGAAAACAGAAUCGAAAAAUGGAUAAAACAUUUACACAGCAGUGUCGAAAAUGGAUCUUCAGCAUACAGCCUCCUAAAAUUCAGUGAUUACACUGUUAUUAGUAGUGAUCAUUUCGAAGAAAACUGUUUUUCUUUUUCAGUUACUGGAAAUACCAAAAUAUUGAAGAAAUCUGCUGUUCCAACGUUGUUCAAAAAGGUGGCAGUCAUUCAGGCAAAUGAACAGAUUAAUAUGCCAAAUAAAAGAAUUCUGAUGAUGCACAACGGUAAUGCUUCAACUCAACCAAUUCACAGUUCUAUCAAUUCAACUCAAGAUGCAGUAAGUUACAUAGCCAAAUUAGUUCACCGAAUAAAUAAGAAGGAAGAUUUGGCAUUUGCAUCACAGUUCUUAUUUCCCUCUUGUUCAAUAAUUUUUCUAACACACGUAAUACAUUUUCUCAUUCGCGGAUCUUCUUUCAAUAAUUCAAUAUUCUCUUCGCCAACUAACGUGGUUAUCUUAUUCACAGAUUUUUGCAAACUGCUUGCCAUUUUGCGAAGUUUUUUCAUCACAUACUGGUAACGUUGCAACUUAUUUCCGUAAAAGGGACUUCCAUUUUGCUUUCUGUAAAUCUUUUUGGAUGAACUAGCUUUCGCAGUAACCUCAUUUUCAAGAGAACUCUGUAAUGGUAAACGAAUGUAAUUGGGCUGCCCAUUGGAUCUGUUGUAGCUAAAGUAUUUUACCACAACAUUCAAGGAUUGUUCCAUCGUUUCAACAGAUGUUACAGCUGUAGGCGGAAUGUCAGUCGGAAUGCACCAAUCUUCAACAUUAAUAGAAACGGUUGUUGGAGCAAUAAUUUUUAUUCCUUGCUUUACAACGUGGUUGAUGGGUGCAACACGAUUAACCAAGUCAAAAAUUGUUAAGCCCUGUAGAAUAAUGCAAUGUAGUUAGUUAGUUCUUUAUUCGGUGAACUAAUUUUGGCUAUGUAACUUACUGCGUCUUGAGUUGAAUUGAUAGAACUGUGAAUUGGUUGAGUUGAAGCAUUACCGUUGUGCAUCAUCAGAAUUCUUUUAUUUGGCAUAUUAAUCUGUUCAUUUGCCUGAAUGACUGCCACCUUUAAAAAAAUAUAUAAUCAUGUUAU